CCACCCCCAUCCCCACACGCAGGCCCCUCCUCCUAGGGCUGGUCGCUCGGGUUGGUAAACUGGAAGCAAAGAGUGCCCACCGCCCAGGAUGGCCAAUCCCAGGCAAAAGGGUGAGGUGGGACUGGGGACGAGUGCUGAAGAGGAAUAAGUAGUAUUGAAACGUUGCUUGAAAAUGCUCGUGAAAAACCCAGGGAAGGUCCCUGAAGAUUAGAACUAGAAGGAAAACUGCUCAGAAAUUGUUCUACAGCGGGCAGAUGGGGGGAAAUUUGGACACAGAAAUGGAAUUAUACAGAGGGAAGACAAUAUGAAGAGAGAUAAGGAGAAGACGGCCAUCUACAAGCCAAGGAGAGAGGUCUGGGACAUAUCCUUCCCUCAUAACGCCCUGAAGAAACCAACCUUGCUGACACCAUGAUAUUGAAUUUUAGACUCCAGAUAAGAAGACUGAGACCUAGAGGGGAGAAGAAGUUGUCUCAAGGUUUUCAUAUUAUCUUAGUAACAGAGUCAUGGAUAGAUAUUGGGACUGAAAGACCAGUGUUCCUUUCUACUACUACACAGCUGUUACAAAGCUGAUUUGUUGUUUUCACCAAAUGUAAUAUAUACUUUAUCAGCUAAACCAACAUAUUUCAACAUACAUCUGUAAUAAGGGCUUUCAGGAAUGAGGCAAAGAGAUUAAACGGGGACUACACUUCAAAGAAAAGAGUCACCCUUCUAUUUAUCCAACCAGGACUGAUUAAAUGUAGUAGGAGAUGUGGAAGAUGGAGGUCUCUGGGUCUGGCCCACAUCCCACAUAUUCACAGAGGAUCUUAAAGUUAAAUUUUUGACUAACCAUUAAAUGACAAUAAUGACAACAACAGCCACAUGGUACUUGCUAGGUAUGAGGACCUAUUCUGAGCCCUUUAUAGAUAAUAGCACAUAUAAUCCAAAUGAUGUUAAGAACUACAGUGAUACUUUAAGUGCAUGUUAAAACUGUUAUUAUGUUAAUAUUUUAAAGAUAAUACAAGUGUUGUGACCCUAUUUUGGCAUCACUUGUUUUCUUAAUACAUCAUAAGCUUCAAACAAUGAAAGAAGUCCGGAUCUACUGACCUUGGAAAAACUCUGCCCCCAUCUAUCAUCCAUCAUCCAUGUAUCAUUUAUCAUCUAUUGUCCAUCCAUCCAUCCAUCUACCCAACCACCCACCCAUCCACCCAACCAUCCAUCCAUCUGACAUUGCUGAGUUCUUCCCAUACACCAGGACCUGGGGUUGGUGCCAGUGAUAUGCAGAUGGAGAGAACAUAGUACCUGUGCUUCAGUUGUUCACAGUUUGUUUGGUAGAGUAGGAAUAAAUAUGAACAGACCAUAGAGCUUGGAAACCA
rnacentral:lncRNA from 13 species